ACUGCUGAGGUGGUCUGAAGCCCAGGUUUCUUUGACAGUGGCCUUCAGCUCAUCUGCAUUGUUUGGUCUCUUGUUUCUCAUCUUCCUCUUGACAAUAAUCCAUAGAUUCUCCCUGGGGUUCCGGUCUGGAUUCUGUAUUCCCAGCCUCAACUAUUUAUCAAAAGGACCGUCAAGGUGGGAAUUCUUUGAACCAGUGUCAGUUUCCAUGGGAUGAAAGAGGGCAAACUAGUGGAAGAUGGGGGUACUGACAUUAACCUGCUCUAUUCACUGUAUUGCACAUUUUUGUUAACACGUUUUCAGUUUUUCAUUUCAAGUACUGGUGGUUUUGAUUUUGUCUAGAUGACAUGCUGUCCUAACACUGUCCUAACAGGUCAGAGCUCAGGUACCACCCAAAAUUCAGCCAUAACCAAUCAGAAAAAAGAAAUCUAAAGGGUCAGUUUAUCAUCAAGUACUCUGACUUGACACCGAUGAUUGAUCAUGAAACCAAUGAUUGCAGAGGCUUUAAAAAAUGAUCAAUCAUUGCGGUCAAGUCUGAGUACUCUAGUACUUGUGCACAUCCCUAUUAAACACAUAUUAGUACUGAUGUAUACUGCAUUGAUGUAUACUGUAAAUGUAAUAAACAUUUUAAUCAUACAUCUUGUAAAAAAAUGUAUACUGCAUUGAUGUAUACUGUAAAUGUAAUAAACAUUUUAAUCAUA